GACGAACGCUGGCGGCGUGCUUAACACAUGCAAGUCGAACGGAAAGGCCCUGCUUUUGUGGGGUGCUCGAGUGGCGAACGGGUGAGUAACACGUGAGUAACCUGCCCUUGACUUUGGGAUAACUUCAGGAAACUGGGGCUAAUACCGGAUAGGAGCUCCUGCUGCAUGGUGGGGGUUGGAAAGUUUCGGCGGUUGGGGAUGGACUCGCGGCUUAUCAGCUUGUUUGUGGGGUAGUGGCUUACCAAGGCUUUGACGGGUAGCCGGCCUGAGAGGGUGACCGGCCACAUUGGGACUGAGAUACGGCCCAGACUCCUACGGGAGGCAGCAGUGGGGAAUAUUGCACAAUGGGCGGAAGCCUGAUGCAGCAACGCCGCGUGCGGGAUACCGGCCUUCUGGUUGUAAACCGCUUUCGCCUGUGACGAAGCGUGAGUGACGGUAAUGGGUAAAGAAGCACCGGCUAACUACGUG
rnacentral:rRNA from 1 species